GACAAACCGGAGGAAGGUGGGGACGACGUCAAGUCAUCAUGCCCCUUAUGACCUGGGCUACACACGUGCUACAAUGGACGGUACAACGAGUCGCGAGACCGCGAGGUUUAGCUAAUCUCUUAAAGCCGUUCUCAGUUCGGAUUGUAGGCUGCAACUCGCCUACAUGAAGUCGGAAUCGCUAGUAAUCGCGAAUCAGCAUGUCGCGGUGAAUACGUUCCCGGGCCUUGUACAC
rnacentral:rRNA from 1 species